GGGCGAAUUAGUUGCAAGGUGUAGACCCGAAACCCGGUGAUCUAGCCAUGGGCAGGUUGAAGGUUGGGUAACACUAACUGGAGGACCGAACCGACUAAUGUUGAAAAAUUAGCGGAUGACUUGUGGCUGGGGGUGAAAGGCCAAUCAAACCGGGAGAUAGCUGGUUCUCCCCGAAAGCUAUUUAGGUAGCGCCUCGGACGAACACCUACGGGGGUAGAGCACUGUUAAGGCUAGGGGGUCAUCCCGACUUACCAACCCUUUGCAAACUCCGAAUACCGUAGAGUGCUAUCCGGGAGACACACGGCGGGUGCUAACGUCCGUCGUGAAGAGGGAAACAACCCAGACCGCCAGCUAAGGUCCCAAAGUCAUGGUUAAGUGGGAAACGAUGUGGGAAGGCUUAGACAGCUAGGAUGUUGGCUUAGAAGCAGCCAUCAUUUAAAGAAAGCGUAAUAGCUCACUAGUCGAGUCGGCCUGCGCGGAAGAUGUAACGGGGCUAAACCAUGCACCGAAGCUGCGGCAAUGACAUUUAGGUGUUAUUGGGUAGGGGAGCGUUCUGUAAGCGGUUGAAGGUGUACUGUGAGGUAUGCUGGACGUAUCAGAAGUGCGAAUGCUGACAUAAGUAACGAUAAAGCGGGUGAAAAGCCCGCUCGCCGGAAGACCAAGGGUUCCUGUUCAACGUUAAUCGGAGCAGGGUGAGUCGACCCCUAAGGCGAGGCUGAAAAGCGUAGUCGAUGGGAAACGGGUUAAUAUUCCCGUACUUGUGGUAACUGCGAAGGGGGGACGGAGAAAGUUAGGCUAUCCGGGCGACGGUUGUCCCGGUUUAAGCGUGAAGGUGGAGAGACUAGGCAAAUCCGGUCUUUCAUUAACACUGAGGCGUGAUGACGAAGCACUACGGUGCUGAAGUAGCUGAUACUACGCUUCCAGGAAAAGCCUCUAAGCAUCAGGUUACCAGAAAUCGUACCCCAAACCGACACAGGUGGUCAGGUAGAGAAUACUCAGGCGCUUGAGAGAACUCGGGUGAAGGAACUAGGCAAAAUGGUGCCGUAACUUCGGGAGAAGGCACGCUGAUGGUAGGUGAAGUCCCUUGCGGAUGGAGCUGAACUCAGUCGAAGAUACCAGCUGGCUGCAACUGUUUAUUAAAAACACAGCACUGUGCAAACACGAAAGUGGACGUAUACGGUGUGACGCCUGCCCGGUGCCGGAAGGUUAAUUGAUGGGGUUAGCGAAAGCGAAGCUCUUGAUCGAAGCCCCGGUAAACGGCGGCCGUAACUAUAACGGUCCUAAGGUAGCGAAAUUCCUUGUCGGGUAAGUUCCGACCUGCACGAAUGGCGUAAUGAUGGCCAGGCUGUCUCCACCCGAGACUCAGUGAAAUUGAAAUCGCUGUGAAGAUGCAGUGUACCCGCGGCAAGACGGAAAGACCCCGUGAACCUUUACUAUAGCUUGACACUGAACAUUGAGCCUUGAUGUGUAGGAUAGGUGGGAGGCAUUGAAACGUGAACGCCAGUUUGCGUGGAGCCGACCUUGAAAUACCACCCUUUAAUGUUUGAUGUUCUAACGUUGUCCCGUAAUCCGGGAUACGGACAGUGUCUGGUGGGUAGUUUGACUGGGGCGGUCUCCUCCUAAAGAGUAACGGAGGAGCACGAAGGUUAGCUAAGCAUGGUCGGACAUCAUGCGGUUAGUGCAAAGGCAGAAGCUAGCUUAACUGCGAGACGGACAGGUCGAGCAGAUAUGAAAGUAGGUCUUAGUGAUCCGGUGGUUCUGAAUGGAAGGGCCAUCGCUCAACGGAUAAAAGGUACUCCGGGGAUAACAGGCUGAUACCGCCCAAGAGUUCAUAUCGACGGCGGUGUUUGGCACCUCGAUGUCGGCUCAUCACAUCCUGGGGCUGAAGUUGGUCCCAAGGGUAUGGCUGUUCGCCAUUUAAAGUGGUACGCGAGCUGGGUUUAGAACGUCGUGAGACAGUUCGGUCCCUAUCUGUC
rnacentral:rRNA from 1 species